CUUGCCCUGAGGAAGGUUUGGGAUGCUUCCUAAUGAGCAGAGCAUGAAUUCCCAUUUAUGGCUCUAUCCUUCCAAGGAAACCUCUGUCUGCUUUAAAUAGUGAAAAUCAUUUAUUGGAAAGAUGCUCAGCAUUAAAAACAUUUUCAAACUAAAAGUUGUCAGACAUUUUGGAUCAACACCUUUCAGCUGCUGUUCCACUCUUUUGGAAAAAAGAAAGCUCUUGUGGCCAGAAAGCUUGCCCUAACUGUAACCAGACAGAAUUCUACUAGAAAACACCAAGGAAACCGUUAACCCCUUGGCCGGUCUACUUCUGGGAGCUCUCUCAGUAGCUGAUUCUGGGUCUUAGGCCUUGAUGAUGUCCCAGUUUCUUUUGCAGGAUGCAGACGGCAUUUUCUGUCCAAAGUCUAUUGGGAUUGCUUUGGAUCACUGAACCACUGAGAAGAACCAAACCUUUCGUUGUUGAUCAUCCUAUAUUCUUGCUGUUACUGUGUAAAAUGUAUUCCUGGUUCUGCUUGUUUUGCUCAGCAUCAGUUUAUGUAAAUCUUUCCAGGCCUUUCUAAAAUCAGCUUGUUCAUCAUUUUUAAUGGAACAUAAUAUCCCAUUAUCUUUAUAUACCACAACUUGUUCAGCCGUUCCCCAAGAACUGCACAUGUUUAAUUUAUAUUGGAUACUAGAGGAGGAGGGAAGGGGGGAGGGAGGGAGAAAAAUAUGGAGCACAAGUUUUUGCAAGGGUAAAUGUUGAAAACAAUCUUUUCAUGUAUCUCAAAAAAUAAAAUGCUAUUAUAAAAAAUAAAGGAUGAUUCUCUGGGUUGAGAAGGGAUAUAUUGGA